AGGGUUCGGUUCCGGAGAGGGAGCCUGAGAAACGGCUACCACAUCUAAGGAAGGCAGCAGGCGCGUAAAUUACCCAAUCCCGAUUCGGGGAGGUAGUGACAAGAAAUAACAACUUCAGAGGUUCGCCUCUAGAAGAUUGCAAUGAGAACAAUUUAAAUCACUUAACGAGGAACAAUUGGAGGGCAAGUCUGGUGCCAGCAGCCGCGGUAAUUCCAGCUCCAAUAGCGUAUACAUAAGUUGUUGCAGUUAAAAAGCUCGUAGUUGAACUUCUGAUUGGGCACUUUCGCGGCUUCUGCCAGUUUGUUGUUCAGUCAUCCGUCUGCAACCCUUCAACGGCCUUCACUGGUACGGGAAGGUGAGUAGACAAUUUACCUUGAAAAAAUUAGAGUGUUUCAGGCAGGUUCUCGCCGGAAUACAUUAGCAUGGAAUAAUGGAAUAGGACUCUUGUCCUUUGUUGGUUUCGGGAUAGGAGUAAUGAUUAAUAGGAACAGAUGGGGGCAUUAGUAUUUAAUUGUCAGAGGUGAAAUUCUUGGAUUUAUUAAAGACUAACUAAUGCGAAAGCAUUUGCCAAGGAUGUUUUCAUUAAUCAAGAACGAAAGUUAGGGGAUCAAAGACGAUCAGAUACCGUCGUAGUCUUAACCAUAAACUAUACCGACUCGGGAUCGGAGGGGUUUAAAUUUUAGUCCCCUCGGCACCGUAUGAGAAAUCAAAGUCUUUGGGUUCUGGGGGGAGUAUGGUCGCAAGGCUGAAACUUAAAGGAAUUGACGGAAGGGCACCACCAGGAGUGGAGCCUGCGGCUUAAUUUGACUCAACACGGGGAAACUUACCAGGUCAAAACAUGGAUAGGAUUGACAGAUUGAAAGCUCUUUCUUGAUUCUAUGGGUGGUGGUGCAUGGCCGUUCCUAGUUGGUGGAGUGAUUUGUCUGGUUAAUUCCGAUAACGAACGAGACCUUAACCUGCUAACUAGUUCGGAUCUGAAUAAGGUUCGUAACUUCUUAGAGGGACUAUGCAUCUAAAUGCAUGGAAGUUUGAGGCAAUAACAGGUCUGUGAUGCCCCUAGACGUCCUGGGCCGCACGCGCGCUACACUGACACGUUCAGCGAGCAAUUCUACCUGACCCGAAAGGGUUCGGGAAAUCUUGUUAGGACGUGUCGUGCUGGGGAUAGAUCUUUGCAAUUAUAGAUCUUGAACGAGGAAUUCCUUGUAAGCACAAGUCAUCAGCCUGUGCUGAAUACGUCCCUGCCCUUUGUACACACCGCCCGUCGCUCCUACCGAUUUCGAGUGAUGUGGUGAACAUUCUGGACUGCGUUAGGACUUGUGCCUAAUGCAGGAAGUUAUGUAAAUCUUAUCACUUAGAGGAAGGAGAAGUCGUAACAAGGUU
rnacentral:rRNA from 1 species